rnacentral:misc_RNA from 1 species
UCCAGGUUAUCCCUGGCGGUCUCCUGAGAGUGCAUCCUUGCGGAUUAGCAACACAGGACAAGGGUUGCGCUCGUUGCGGGACUUAACCCAACAUCUCACGACACGAGCUGACGACAGCCACGCAGCACCUCGACUACGGUCCCUUGCGGGAGAACUCCUAUUUCUAGGAGCUUUCCGCAGCCGUUCGAGCCCAGGUAAGGUUCUUCGCGUUGCGUCGAAUUAAACCACAUGCUCCACCGCUUGUGCGGGUCCCCGUCAAUUCCUUUGAGUUUCAUGCUUGCGCACGUACUCCCCAGGCGGAAUGCUUAAAGCGUUAGCGACGGCACCCGGGGACUAUCUAACCCCGGACACCAAGCAUUCAUCGUUUACGGCGUGGACUAC